GGCGGCAAAAUACCCUUUUAGAGGAACCUGCCCUAUUAACGAUGGACCACGAUUUCCCUACUUUCCUUAGUAAUCAGUUUAUAUACCGCUGUUGACAGUUAGUUUCCUUAGAAAUCUAUCUACAAUUUAAUUUAAAUAUACUUCAAGUAAAGGUGUAGCUCAUAGGAAAGAGAGAGGUGGGUUACAAUUAAGUGAAUAACCACGGAUAAGCAGCCUAAACAAGCUUUAAAGGAGGAUUUAAUAGUAAAAUUUUCGGUAUAAAUUUGAUUUGAGCAAUAUUUUGUGCACAAACCGCCCGUCG
rnacentral:rRNA from 1 species